GACGAACGCUGGCGGCGUGCUUAACACAUGCAAGUCGAGCGGAAAGGCUCCUUCGGGGGUACUCGAGCGGCGAACGGGUGAGUAACACGUGAGUAAUCUGCCCUGGACUCUGGGAUAGCCACCGGAAACGGUGAUUAAUACCGGAUAUGACCACUUUAGGCCUCUGAGGUGGUGGAAAGUGUUUCGGUCCAGGAUGUGCUCGCGGCCUAUCAGCUUGGUGGUGAGGUAAUGGCUCACCAAGGCUUUGACGGGUAGCCGGCCUGAGAGGGUGACCGGUCACACUGGGACUGAGACACGGCCCAGACUCCUACGGGAGGCAGCAGUGGGGAAUAUUGGACAAUGGGCGGAAGCCUGAUCCAGCAACGCCGCGUGAGGGAUGACGGCCUUCGGGUUGUAAACCUCUUUCAGUACCGACGAAGCGAAAGUGACGGUAGGUACAGAAGAAGGACCGGCCAACUACGUGCCAGCCGCCGCCGUAAAAC
rnacentral:rRNA from 1 species